rnacentral:lncRNA from 1 species
UUUUAAUGAAUCUCUAAGGCUACUAUAUUAAAUCAACUAAAAACCAAAACAGGCAGAAAGGUGACAUAAUGAGAGUGAAAAGAAAAUGUACCCUGUGGUUCUGCAGCCACCCCCUACAGCUCCACUUUCUGACUCAUGGCCAGGAGAGUGCCAGCUCUGUUUUUCCAAGUCCAAUCCUGGAAAGGACUACACGUGGAUGGCCCCUAUACCAUGCUGACCUCUGGAGCUGAAAUCUGUAGCUGGCGCAUUUGCAGUUGAUCUCUGGGCUCCAUCUCAG